UGCCAGAUGGCCACAUAGGCACAUUAUGCCCAGCAUGGGCCACCAUGCCAGAGUCCUAGGAGGAAAAAAGGGGCUCAGCACACACCACAUUGUUGGGUAAAACAGCCUGGGCACAGGGCGCCGCCCUAGUCAGUUAAAGAGCUUGCCAGCCCUCCCACAUCCACAACCCCAGACCCCAGAUACCAGUCCAGGGCCAGCUGAGCACAGCUUCGAAUCUGUCUUCACUUGAGCUUCUGACGAAAGUGCUGAACAAUGUACGGACUCUAAGGCGAGGAGCAAGAGCCCAGAGCCCUGCCCUUCUACUCCAGCCUCACGUCCCCACCACUGGACCACACAACCUUCCUAGGGACCAGCAAAGGACAAAGACCUUGAUUGGUGGUCAAGGUUUAAACACCUGUUUAUGGCUUUUUGUUAAGCAUUUUCAAAAUUUAGAG